rnacentral:rRNA from 4 species
AUGACGUUGAUAGGUCGGGUGUGUAAGCGCAGCGAUGCGUUGAGCUAACCGAUACUAAUGAACCGUGAGGCUUAACCUU